GCCUUUGGAGUCCAGUGCCAUUGCCUGCCCCCCAAAGGGCUCCUUGACACUGUGCACUAUGCUGCACAUGCCCCAGUGGCCCAGAAAGGUCUUUCGGGGUCACCCUGAAUCUUCCGGGUUUCUGAGGGUCAGAGAAGCCUGUCCCAGGUCUCAGCACUACAUCUGCACCAUCUAGGUGGUCUACACCCAGGCGGGCCUCUCCCACCAAAGAGAAGGCCUAGGGAAGGUUCCCUGCACCUCUUGGGCACCUGACUGCAGGUCACUGGUGUGCCUCAGAUCCUGUUUGGAGGCCAAGCAGAAAUAAAACCACUUCUCCCAGAAAUGGAUGGCGUUGUGUCAGGCACCAUAGGCUGAGCCCUGAUGUAGACCCUGCCCAACGGCCGUCACCCAUCUCAUGCUCACAGGGAAAAGACUCAGAAGGACACACAGACCAUGGACAGAACGGACUGCUUGGGGCUCCAAGGAGAACCUGGGGAAUGGCCUAGUCGGCAUGGGAGAAAGACACCAUCCCUUUCCUGGAACUCGCUGCUGGGUGUGGGGUCAGAAAAACACCACCAGGACCUCAAACCUUAGUUCUGGGGUGCUGCCUGUGAGUGCAGGGGUGCGAAUGUGAACCCAGCUGGGUGGCCUGGAGCCUGCCUGUGAUAUCAACAUUCCAAUAACUGGAAAAGCAGAUUUUUGUGCUGGUGUUUGAGGGAUGGAGCUCAGAUGGGGCUGGAACACACUUGAUCCAAGAGAAGAAGGGGAAGCGCAGGGCCUCCCUCCAGGGUUGGUUCCAGUGGAAGGAUGGAGGAAGAGAUGGGUACCAGGCACACUUCUGCAAGUGCUCCCACCAUGGAGACAUGACAGGUGGAUAGCAGGGUUGAGAAGGGUCCUGGGCUGUCUGGAGGGGAGGGGGUGCUUACGGGGGUACUCACAGUGAAGCCCAGCGAGGGGACCUGGGAUGUCACAGGUAAGAGUAAAUCACGAAAACAUGGGCACACAAUGGGCAU